UACGUAGGGUGCAAGCGUUAAUCGGAAUUACUGGGCGUAAAGCGUGCGCAGGCGGUUUUGUAAGUCAGAUGUGAAAUCCCCGGGCUUAACCUGGGAACUGCGUUUGAAACUACAAGGCUAGAGUCUGGCAGAGGGGGGUAGAAUUCCACGUGUAGCAGUGAAAUGCGUAGAGAUGUGGAGGAACACCGAUGGCGAAGGCAGCCCCCUGGGUCAAGAUUGACGCUCAUGCACGAAAGCGUGGGGAGCAAACAGG
rnacentral:rRNA from 1 species